rnacentral:rRNA from 1 species
CUCAUCAACCCUGUGAACAUACCUAAAACGUUGCUUCGGCGGGAACAGACGGCCCUGUAACAACGGGCCGCCCCCGCCAGAGGACCCCUAACUCUGUUUUUAUAAUGUUUUUCUGAGUAAACAAGCAAAUAAAUUAAAACUUUCAACAACGGAUCUCUUGGCUCUGGCAUCGAUGAAGAACGCAGCGAAAUGCGAUAAGUAAUGUGAAUUGCAGAAUUCCAGUGAAUCAUCGAAUCUUUGAACGCACAUUGCGCCCGCCAGUAUUCUGGCGGGCAUGCCUGUUCGAGCGUCAUUACAACCCUCAGGCCCCCGGGCCUGGCGUUGGGGAUCGGCAGAAGCCCCCUGUGGGCACACGCCGUCCCUCAAAUACAGUGGCGGUCCCGCCGCAGCUUCCAUUGCGUAGUAGCUAACACCUCGCAACUGGAGAGCGGCGCGGCCAUGCCAGUAAAACACCCAACUUCUGAAUGUUGACCUCGAAUCA